AGGACUAACGCUGGCGGCGUGCCUAACACAUGCAAGUCGAACGAGAGUAGCAAUACUCUAGUGGCAGACGGGUGAGUAACACGUGGUCAACCUACCUCUUAGUGGGGGAUAACUAGCCGAAAGGUUAGCUAAUACCGCAUUCGAUCUUCGAUCGGCAUCGAUUGAAGAUGAAAGGCGCAAGUCGCUAAGAGACGGGACCGCGUCCCAUUAGCUAGUUGGUAGGGUAAUGGCCUACCAAGGCGACGAUGGGUAGCUGGCUUGAGAGAGCGACCAGCCACACUGGGACUGAGACACGGCCCAGACUCCUACGGGAGGCAGCAGUGAGGAAUUUUCCGCAAUGGGCGAAAGCCUGACGGAGCGACGCCGCGUGUGGGAAGAAGGCCUUCGGGUCGUAACCACUGUCGAAGGGGAGAUAUUGACGGUACCCUUGGAGGAAGCCCCGGCUAACUACGCGCCAGCAGCCGC
rnacentral:rRNA from 1 species